GCGAGGCCUGGGUCACCUCUGCUCUCAUCAACCAGCCUGGGGUGAACUCAGUCAUGUCCGGUACCCUCGGCUUUGGGGUGAAAAAGGCAGACAUUCCGGGUCUUCAGCGCCAUCUGUUGGAUCUGGAUCCUUAUGCAGAUGCCCUAACAGAGGAAUUCUGGGAGACGCUAUUUAACUGCACACUGGACUAUAGCAAAGCCCU